AACGCGAAGAACCUUACCUGGGUUCGAAAUGCAGUUGUAAGCCUCAGAGAUGAGGUCCCCUCUUCGGAGGCAGCUGUAUAGGUGCUGCAUGGCUGUCGUCAGCUCGUGUCGUGAGAUGUUGGGUUAAGUCCCGCAACGAGCGCAACCCUUGUCCAUAGUUGCUAACGCGUAGUGGCGAGAACUCUAUGGAGACUGCCGGUGAUAAACCGGAGGAAGGUGGGGAUGACGUCAAGUCCUCAUGGCCCUUAUGUCCUGGGCUACACACGUGCUACAAUGGCGGUGACAGUGGGAGGCUCGCUCGCGAGGGCAUGCCGAUCUCCAAAAGCCGUCUCAGUUCAGAUUGCACUCUGCAACUCGGGUGCAUGAAGGUGGAAUCGCUAGUAAUCGUGGAUCAGCACGCCACGGUGAAUACGUUCCCGGGCCUUGUACCACCGGUACUA
rnacentral:rRNA from 1 species